UACGUAGGGUGCAAGCGUUAAUCGGAAUUACUGGGCGUAAAGCGUGUGCAGGCGGCUUAUCAAGUGGUGUAUGAAAUAUCCAGGCUCAACCUGGAGGGGUUAUGCCAGACUGGUAGGCUAGAGUGCGAGAGAGGGGCGUGGAAUUCCGGGUGUAGUGGUGAAAUGCGUAGAGAUCCGGAGGAACCCCAGAGGCGAAGGCGGCGCCCUGGCUCGACACUGACGCUCAGACACGACAGCAUGAGGAGCGAACGGG
rnacentral:rRNA from 1 species